UACAGAGGUCCCGAGCGUUGUUCGGAUUCAUUGGGCGUAAAGGGUGCGUAGGUGGCGCCGUAAGUCGGGUGUGAAAUUUCGAGGCUUAACUUCGAAACUGCAUUCGAUACUGCCGUGCUUGAGGACUGGAGAGGAGACUGGAAUUUACGGUGUAGCGGUGAAAUGCGUAGAUAUCGUAAGGAAGACCAGUGGCGAAGGCGGGUCUCUGGACAGUUCCUGACGCUGAGGCACGAAGGCCAGGGGAGCAAACGGG
rnacentral:rRNA from 1 species